rnacentral:rRNA from 1 species
GACGAACGCUGGCGGCGUGCUUAACACAUGCAAGUCGAACGAAGUGGCGAACGGGUGAGUAAUGCCUAGGAAUCUGCCUGGUAGUGGGGGAUAACGUCCGGAAACGGGCGCUAAUACCGCAUACUAUCAGAUGAGCCUAGGUCGGAUUAGCUAGUUGGUGGGGUAAAGGCCUACCAAGGCGACGCUCCGUAACUGGUCUGAGAGGAUGAUCAGUCACACUGGACCGUCGACACGGUCCAGAUCCCUACGGGAGGCAGCAGUGGGGAAUAUUGGACAAUGGGCGAAAGCCUGAGCCAGCCAUGCCGCGUGUGUGAAGAAGGUCUUCGGAUUGUAAAGCACUUUAAGUUGGGAGGCGUUACCAACAGAAUAAGCACCGGCUAACUUCGUGCCAGCAGCCGCGGUAAUAC